rnacentral:misc_RNA from 1 species
GCUUGAGGAAGAGUACUAAAAUCUUGGUUUUUAUACAGAAUUGUGCCAUGGCAACGCAAAAACCUGGGGAAUGGGUGCAGUCGCUCAUUUCCCGGUUUGAUGCACAGUUGCCAAUAAAGACGGGACUGCACACGACCCAGUCUGUGCAGAAUGUGAAGCAGAACAAGGAAUGCCUGGUGAAUGUGAGCAAGUACAAGUUCUCACUGGUGAUCAACGGCCUUACCAAGACCUUGCAGUCAGUCUCGCUCAUGCGAAUCUAUCAUCAAGAAGCAGAACGAAACCAUUAUGAAUCACAGCUGAUAAUUCUGGACACAUUGAAGCAGGUUUUGAAUUCUCAACCCAAGGAUACAUCUCGUCUAGAUGAGGCUAUGUACGUCAAGUUGCUUCUCCCAGAAAUUUGCAAGUUCCUAAACCAGCAGAGUGACAACCCAGUCGUUCCUCAACUCAAGAAGCUGGCGUCGGAAGUUCUCUUUGCUCUCAGUCUCAACAACUUUACAGCAGUCUUCAACAGAAUCUCAGCCAGAUUGGUGACGCUGUCGACCUGCAGUGAAGAUGCCUCUGACCUCUCUGAUCUUGAACUGAUUCAACACAUGAACAUGGACCUCAUUCGCUUGAGCAGACUGCUUAACGAGGUCGUGUCAAAGUUCAAGUCUCUGAAGUCCCGUCAUGUGAUCAUUACCCUGGGACAGAACCUGGAGAAAGCGAUCUGGAACUGGAUGGAUAAUUACCCAUCGGAGUUCACCGACCUGCAGAAGAGACCAAAUGAUGAACUUCAAGACUGCUGUGAUAAACUGUUUGAGCAUUUCAACACACUGGUGGAGGGGUCCAAGCGGAGGGUGUCGGUGUGGCCUCUUCAGAUGAUGCUACUUAUCCUCUGUCCUAAAAUUCUAGAAGAAAUCAACAAUGCCGACACAGGGGCCCCGUGCUCUUCACAACAUCUCAGGAAGAAACAUUUCAUUGAUGAGGUUAAAAAGGCGAUUGCGUGCCAUGGAGGGAACAAACAGUUUACAGAAGGCGCCGCGGUCACGUGCGUUCGUCUGUGCAAGGCUUCCACGUACAUCAGUAUCAACGACAGCCUCAAUGUCUUGUUCUCCCUCGUUCAGUCGGUCAUGCAGGAUCUCAAAAAUCUACUGUUCAGUCCUCCCUCCAACAGCAAGCCUUUCUACAAAGGUCAGAACAUGUACGGCCAAGACCUUGACCUUUACAUCGACUGCUUUGUGUCGUGUUUCCGCAUCACGCCGCACAACAAUGACGUUCUGAAAGUCUGCCUUAACGGUCAUUCUCCGCCAAUGUACCACUUCGUUCUUGUGAAUGCCUUACACCGAAUUAUAACGCAGGCACGUCUUCCUUGGUGGCCUGACAUCAGUCUGAUCUAUGGUAAAGCCGGGGAACUCCGAAACAUGUUCACUGACAUCGUCAACAAAGUCACACAGGGCUUCAGUAGCCACAACUGUCCAAAGACUAUAGCCAAGGUGACUGCAUCCAUCAAGCUGACGUCAAAAGCUACCGAUGAAACAUUCACAAGCUACAAGUACAUUCUUUUGUGGCUUGUAAAACUCAUCAAUGCCGACCCAUACCUCAUGUUGCAUAAUCAAGGUAAACCGGGACACGAGAUUCAGAGGAGUACGUUAGAGCUGAUCACUGGUCUUGUGUCUCUUGUUCAUCAACAGUGGAUGCCAGACGUCGCACAGAAAGCCAUGGAGGCUCUGCUAUGUCUGCACCAACCAGAGAACAUUGAGCUGUGGAAUCCAGAAGCACCAAUCAACACAUUCUGGGAUAUAAGCUCACAAGUUCUGUUCUACAUAUCCCAGCGACUGAUUCAGCACCAGAUCGUCAACUACACAGAGAUUCUCAAGUGGUUGCGCGACAUCCUCGUCUGUCGCAACCGCUUCCUACAGAAACACAGCACAAACGCCAACGUUGGCAGCAACAUUCCAGUCUGCAUACAGGCUCAUAUCAAGCUGGAGGUGGUAUUUUUUGUCUACCUGUGGAGUAUAGACAUGGAAGCUGUUCUGACAGCAAUGUCGUGUUUCCGUCUACUCUGCGAGGAAGCCGACAUUCGCUGUGGCGCCGAUGAGAUGGCCGUCACUCAGCUGUUGCCAAACUACAACGUGUACGCAGAGUUGGCAGCGGCAAGCACUGUCCUCACCACAGGAAGAGCAGCAUUGCAGAAAAGAAUUAUGGCUCUGUUAAGAAAAAUAGACCAACCAACGCCAGGAAACUCCCAGGCCUGGGAGGACACAUUCAGAAACUGGGACAUGGUCACUCGGUAUCUUGAAUCUUACCCCAAGGUCAAGUUUGAUGAAGGUCAGAGGGAAAUAGCUGAGAUGAUCAAACUGAAGAGAAAACCACCACAUCAUCCCAGUACUGAACAUGAACUAGAGGACCAACUCAAUGAGUGGGCCAACAUGACAGGCUUCCUGUGUGCGCUGGGAAGUGUGCGGCUGCAGAACAAGUGUCAGAAAGUCAGCACGACAGCACUGUCCGGACUACAGGUAGACACAGGACGGAAAAGCAGCUUGAUGCAGAGUUGUGCUAAUGACUCACAGUACUGUCCAGUUACACAAUUUAUUGGCAACCUUCUGAAACUGCUGAUAUUUCAGAAUGAGAAGUUUGGUGCUCAGAUUCAGAAACACGUCAAGGAGCUGGUUGGCCAUGAGUUGAACCCGGCUCUGUAUCCCAUUCUGUUUGAUCAGAUCAAAGUAUCGGUCGACAAGUACUUCGACUCAACCGGACAGGUGAUAGUGCUGGACAUGAACACCCAAUUCAUAGAGAACGUGAUCUUCAUCAUGAAGAACAUUCUGGAGAUGAAGUCCGAUCAACCGUGUGAAUACCUCGGUCUGACCAGCAUCGAGUCUCUCAUGUUGACCAUUGUCAGAUACGUUCGCCACUUGGAUUCAUCAGUCCAUGCUAUCCAGAUAAAAACAAAACUGUGUCAGCUGGUUGAAGCGAUGAUGCAACGUCGAGAUGAACUGACAUUCAGACAAGAAAUGAAGUUCCGAAACAAACUGGUUGAGUAUUUGACUGACUGGAUCAUGGGAAAUUCUCACCAAGUGAACAUCCAGGGAGAUAUCUGUAGUAUGUCAAGCAGGGACCUGGAUCAGGCGAGUAUGGAGGCAGUGGCGGCCCUACUGGCGGGUCUGCCACUGCAGCCGGAGGAGAGCGAUCGCGGGGACCUCAUGGAGGCCAAGUCGCAACUCUUCCUCAAGUACCUGACACUGUUCAUGAAUCUCCUGAAUGACUGCUCGGAAGAGGAACAGGACAAGGCCAUGGAUCCCAACAGGAAACGAAGCAUGUCCAAUCUGAGCGCGCUCAGAAACUGCACGGUGCAGGCAAUGUCUAACCUGCUGAAUGCUAACAUUGACAGUGGACUGAUGCAUUCCAUCGCUUUGGGGUAUCACAAAGAUCCACAGACACGGGCGGCCUUUAUGGAGGUUCUGACUAAGAUCUUGCAGCAGGGCACAGAAUUUGAGACACUGGCCGAGACAGCACUGGCCGACCGAUUUGAGAGGCUGGUAGAGCUCGUCACGAUGAUCGGAGACAAGGGAGAACUGCCCAUCGCCAUGGCGUUAGCAACAGUCGUGUCCAACUCACAAAUGGAUGAACUGGCUCGUGUGUUUGUCAACCUGUUUGAUGCGAAGCGACUGUUGUAUAUCCUCCUCUGGAACAUGUUCACUAAAGAGGUUGAAAUUGCAGACUGCAUGCAGACGUUGUUCCGUGGAAACAGCCUGGCGAGUAAGAUCAUGGCGUAUUGUUUCCGUUUCUAUGGUCAGAGCUAUUUACGGGAAUUGCUACACCCUCUGAUUAGCCAGAUGUUCUUGAUGGAAGAAAACCACUGCUCAUUUGAGAUUGAUCCAGCCAGGCUGGAGCCAGGUGAAAACAUUGAUGCUAAUAGAAGGAACUUGCUGACAAUAACUCAAAAGGUCUUCAAUGCUAUUGUUGGAUCAGCACCAAGGUUUCCAGCGAAAUUGCGUGGUAUGUGCCACUGUCUAUACCAAGUGGUAACUCAGCGUUUUCAGCAAAGCAGUGCCGAGGCGGUGUGGACAGUGAUUGGCACUGUGAUAUUCUUACGCUUCAUCAAUCCUGCCAUAGUUUCUCCUUACGAGUCUGGCAUCGUGGAGGAGGAGCCGACGCCCCGUAUAAAGCGUGGCCUGACGCUGAUGUGUAAGAUAAUGCAGAACAUCGCCAACCAUCUCCUCUUCACCAAGGAGCAGCACAUGACGGCCAAUAACGAGUUUCUCAUGAACAACUUCGAGGCAGGAAGGAGAUUUUUCACUGAAAUUGCCUCUGAUUGUGAAACUCUGGAUGCUGGAAACCACAGUUUGUCAUUCAUUAACGAUGCAAACGUCUUGGCCUUGCACCGUCUGUUGUGGAACAACCAGGAAAAGAUUGGAGACUACCUCUCUAGUAGCAGAGAUCACAAGGCAGUCGGCAGACGUCCCUUUGAUAAGAUGGCCACCCUGCUUGCAUACCUGGGACCCCCAGAGCAUCGGCCGUUAGAUUCACAAUGGAGCAGCAUGGACAUGACCAGCACCAAGUUUGAGGAAAUCAUGUCAAAACACAACAUGCAUGAGAAGGAUGAGUUCAAGUCGCUGAAGAAUCUCCACAUCUUCUACCAGGCUGGAACCAGCACCAGUGGAAACCCAGUCUUCUACUACAUCGCGCGCAGAUACAAAGUUGGGGAAAUCAAUGGAGACCUACUCAUCUACCAUGUUCUGUUGACCCUGAAGCCAUUUUAUCACAAACCAUUUGAACUUGUCAUUGACUUCACACACACCUGCUCUGAGAACAGGUUUAGGACUGAUUUUCUGUCCAAGUGGUUUGUCGUGAUGCCAGAAAAUGUCUACCUCAAUAUCGUGGCUGCCUACAUCUACAACUGUAACUCAUGGGUGCGAGAGUACACCAAAUAUCAUGACAGAAUUCUUGCCCCACUCAGGAACAACAGGAAGCUGCUAUUUAUAGAUCAUCCAGCCAAGCUUAGCGAGUACAUCCACGUGGAUCAUCAGAAGUUGCCAGGAACAACCGUCGCCCUCGAAGAAGAUCUCAAAGUGUUCAACAACGCUCUCAAACUCUCCCACAAAGACACAAAAGUAGCCAUAAAGGUUGGUCCAAAUGCUAUCCAGGUAACGUCGUCGGAGAAAAGCAAGGUUUUGGGUCACCAGGUUUUACUCAAUGAUGUGUAUUACGCUGCUGAGAUUGAAGAGGUGUGCCUUGUGGAUGACAACCAGUUUACCCUGACUAUAGCCAAUGAGAGUGGCCCUCUGUCAUUCAUCCAUAACGACUGUGAUAACAUUGUACAAGCGAUCAUACAUAUCCGCACACGAUGGGAGCUGUCGCAACCGGACACUGUGACAGUUCACACCAAAAUCAGACCAAAGGAUGUCCCAGGAACACUUCUUAAUGUUGCAUUGCUGAAUUUAGGCAGCUCUGACCCAAGUCUUCGGUCUGCUGCGUACAACUUGCUGUGUGCCCUCACCCAGACCUUUGACCUCAAGAUAGAAGGACAGCUUCUUGAAACCAAUGGACUGUGUAUUCCUGCCAACAACACGAUCUUCAUCAAGUCUAUCAGUGAGAAGCUGGCGGAGAAGGAGCCUCACCUGACCCUGGAGUUUCUCGAGGAGUGUAUUCAGGGCUUCGGUAACUCCAACAUAGAGAUGAAGCACUUGUGUCUUGAGUACAUCACACCUUGGUUACCAAACCUCACCAGAUUCUGCAAGCAGUGCGAUGAGAACAAGAGACAGAAAGUUGCCCUCAUUCUAGACAAGCUUAUCACCAUGACAAUAGAGGAAGAAGAGAUGUACCCAUCAAUUCAGGCAAAGAUCUGGGGCAAUAUUGGUCAGAUUGCUGAUCUUCUCGAUAUGGUGCUUGACAGUUUCAUAAAGCGAAGUGUCACUGGUGGUUUGGGCUCCAUACAAGCUGAGAUUAUGGCCGACACAGCUGUAGCACUGACGUCUGCAAAUGUUCAACUCGUCUCCAGGAAGGUCAUCGGCAGAUUGUGCAGGCUGAUUGACAAGACGUGCACAUCUCCGACCCCGACCCUGGAACAGCAUCUCAUGUGGGAUGAUAUCGCAAUUCUUGCUCGCUACCUCCUCAUGUUGUCUUUCAAUAACUCACUUGAUGUUGCUAGUCAUUUGCCUUUCCUGUUUCACAUCGUGACACUGCUCGUGUCGACGGGUCCACUGUCCUUGAGGGCGUCGACGCACGGUCUAGUCAUCAACAUAAUCCACUCACUGUGCACAUGCUCACAACUACACUUUGGAGAGAACACGCUGCAAGUUCUGAAGAUGAGUUUAGCGGAAUUCUCCCUUCCCAAAUUCUACCAGCUGUUUGGGAUCAGCAAGGUCAAAUCGGCUGCUGUGAGUGCCUUCCGAACCAGCUAUCGUCCCGGCGACCGCUCGUUCACCAUGGCACCGCCGGAGAAUGAGAAGAUGCCGCUUAGCUCCUUGGAGGCCAUUGCUGAUGCCCUGCUAGAGAUUAUGGAGGCAUGUAUGAAAGAUAACCCUGGUUGUGAUUGGCUACAACAGUGGACAGACUUAGCAAGACGAUUUGCGUUCCAGUACAACCCUGCUCUACAGCCGAGAGCGAUCAUCGUGUUCGGGUGUAUCAGCAAGUCUGUGACGGACUCCGAGGUCAAACAGCUACUGAAGAUCAUGAUGAAGGGGAGACCACCCUACUCUUUGACUUUCACUCACGCCUGUACAUUGCCGAGUUUUGGCGAGAAGUCUGAAAAUCUGCAAGAUCAAGCUGGAUUGAGGAGGGCACAACCAGCUUGUAUGGAGGCCCUGGAGUCGUACACUGAUCUGACCUUGAUUGAAGCAGUUGUCAUGUGCCUAACGAGACUGCAGCCUUUGCUCAAACCAGAGUCUCCUAUCCACAAGUUUCUGUUCUGGGUUGCGAUCUCGGUUUUACAGUUAGAUGAAGUGUCUUUGUAUGCUGCCGGCCUCGCCCUCAUUGAGCAGAAUCUCCACACACUCGACAACAUGGGACUCUUCGACAAAGUGUCUCUUGAGAAGUGUAUAAUGGAGACGCGUGAACCACUGGAGUGGCACUUCAAGCAGCUCGACCACUAUGUCGGCCUGAGCUUCACGACAAACUUCAACUUUGCCCUCGUUGGCCACCUCUUGAAGGGAUUCCGACAUCCAUCGCCGACCACGGUGUCGCGAACCAUCCGCGUUCUACACCAGCUGCUGAGCAUCACCGUGAAGCCAACAGGGAGGGACAAGUUCGAGGUCACAACCCAGACUGUCGCCUAUCUAGCAGCCCUGGUGUCUGUAUCGGAGGAGGUUCGCAGUCGCUGCCACCUGAAGCACCGUCCCGCUAACUACAUGAUCUCAGAAUCUCCGUCAUCCGACAGUCUGAUUGCCGAACUCAACUCGCAGGGGACGUCGGCAUCAGCCCCUGUGUCGGUGUUGUCGGUGUCAAUACCAUCCACACAGGGUCCCCUUCUCCCUGUCGCCACGCCCCUCGCUCGGCGACAGAAGAGCUGUGACCUGCUCGAUCAGACUGCCAUAGCCAUGGCCAGGAUGCAGAAAAAUACACAACUCUCACAUAGUCAGCAGGUUAACAGUCCCAAGGUUUGGAGAAGCCUUGACUGUGAGCCGAACGCGCGACCACCUCUGUGCAAAACACGCAGUAGCUCCAUGCCGACCCCUGGAACCAAGAAGAUGGACCCCAACACAUCGGUGCUGCCAGUGCCGCGGAGUGGCCGCAGUUCCGUGUCAAACGAGAACAACGUCCUGCUGGAUCCAGACAUUCUCGUCGAUUAUCCAACACAGGCCCUCGUUCUCACUGUGCUGGCCACCUUGGUGCGUAACACAACUGAUGAGAAUGAAGCACGCAUAAUAUAUGAGUAUUUGGCAGAAGCAUCUGUCGUUUUUCCAAAAGUCUUUCCUGUCAUUCACAGUUUGCUGGAUGCCAAGAUCAACAAUGUAUUGUCACUGUGUCACGACCAGGCUAUACUGAAUGCUGUACAGAGCAUCAUUCAGAACAUGAUAGCCUGUGAAGACGCCUCACAACAGCAGCUGUCGUAUCUUCAAAGUAUUGGCUUCGGUGGACUCUGGAGAUUCGCAGGAACAUUUACUAAGGUUAGUUUGAAGUGGAGUGGAGUGGAAGUGAUCACCCACCUUUCCUGGUGAAGACUAGCAAAUGUUUUUGAUAACCAGCGAAGAUGUAUUUGGUCUUACUUGAUUCAUCUGGGAGUAGUGAUACAGCAGAACUUUUUGUGAACUGUUUAGAAAAAGCCAUGAUCAUGGAAUCGUGUCUCCCUGGUGACGACCUUGACAUUCUCAAUCCGUACCCGAGCUGUCUUGGCAUUUCAUCGA